rnacentral:rRNA from 1 species
GAUGGAACAAUGUAGACAAGGGAAGUCGGCAAAAUGGAUCCGUAACUUUGGGAAAAGGAUUGGCUCUGAGGGCUGGGCUCGGGGGUCCCUGUUCCGAACCCGUCGACUGUUGGCGGGCUGCUUGAGCUGCUAACGUGGCGAGAGCGGACCGCCUCGUGUCCGCCGGGGGAUGGACUGGGAAUGGCUCUUUCGGGAUCUUUCCCCGUGCGUCGAACAGCCAACUCAGAACUGGUACGGACAAGGGGAAUCCGACUGUUUAAUUAAAACAAAGCAUUGCGAUGGUCCCUGCGGAUGCUAACGCAAUGUGAUUUCUGCCCAGUGCUCAGAAUGUCAAAGUGAAGAAAUUCAACCAAGCGCGGGUACACUGCGGGAGUAACUAUGACUCUCUUAAGGUAGUCAAAUUCUUCGUCAUCUAAUUAGUGAUGCGCAUGAAUGGAUUAACGAGAUUCCCACUGUCCCUGUCUACUAUCCUGCGAAACCACAGCCUAGGGAACGGGCUUGGCAGAAUCAGCGGGGAAAGAAGACCCUGUUGAGCUUGACUCUAGUCCGACUUUGUGAAAUGACUUGAGAGGUGUAGAAUAAAUGGGAGCUCCGGUGCAAGUGAAAUACCACUACUUUUAAUGUUAUUUUACUUACUCCAUGAAUCGGAGGCGGGGUAACUGUAACGCCCGAAUCCGGCCUUUCGACGAAACUGGACCCGUUUGCUACUUAAUCAAUUUCUUUGCUUGUUUGAUUCAUUUUAAGUCUUUCCUUUACUAAGUCAUGUUCGAAUCUGAGGUUCUAAAACAAUUGAACAGAUAACACAGCGGAAUAUAAAUGUGUAUAAAAUGUAUUACUUAGAAACAUGAGAUCCAAUACACAACUUCUUAAUCAUUUCAUAGAAAAUCAUUAGUUCAUCCCUAGCAUCAUCUACCACACGUUACACAGCCUCUCACUGGCCGAGCCUUCACGGCUCCUUGGCUUGACCAGAACCAUCCUUAGUUCCUGAAACCACAACCAGAUAAGCACUACUCAUAACCGAGAAUAGAACUUGUCGAUUCUACAAUGCUUGGCUUGGUUCCUAGAACACAGAUAAAACUCAGACAAUAUACUUAUAAAAAGAUAUGAACCUGCCUACCAAAUCCUAAGUCAUUCAACCAACCACCCCUUGACAUAGAAUCAGAUAGACAGUCCAGAAUAGAUAAACAGAACACACGAACAGUCCGGAUCGUCCCGAAAACCAAUUCGUCCAUCCGGAUAGAAUCUAGGUGCGACCGGCCUAGAUGAAGUCCGACUCAAUGGCCCAACAGACUUCCUUACCUGAUCCGGCCUUGGGCCUGGAUCCAAUGGCCGAAUAAGCCUCACACCCAAUCCGGUUAGGCGAAACGGCCGAUCGGACCUUGCGACUCUUACCCUGGCUUAGACGAACCAUGUACUUGUCGCAAUGGACAAGACAUGGUCUGAUCCCUUAACGAACGUACACAACCUGUCUCAACAGGCACCGUUUGGAACAUGCACCCCUUUGGUCUUUGGUACCUCUUGGUCCUCGUACCUCUUGAUCCUUGUACCUCUUGAUGUUCGUAACCCUUUGUUACUUACAUCCUUUGGCAACUCACAACCUUUGGAACUUGUGACCUUUGGUAACUCACAACCCUUGGUAACUCGUGACCUUUGGCCACUCGUGCCUCUUGGGACAUGACCAACGGUUUAGCCCAACUGCCCAGUCUAUGGUGCGAUUCGAACAGACUAUCUAACCUACCAGCGUCUAGGUUAGCGGUUUGGUUAUAACCGGCCAAGUCUAUGGACGUGUCCCUUGGACUGAACCAACACAACCCUUCGUGUAUAAUCAGAAAGAAGAGAAAGGACCAGAUAGAAACACGAAAAGGAGAAGCGGUUAGGUCUAAUGAACCGACCAGAGCCGUGGUGCGAUCACAAGGACCGUCCGUUCGGUCUGAUGCGGCAAUAGCCUACCAUGUACCUUCUGAACCGUGUCAGGGUUCUCCAUGUUCUUCUCCUGCUCUCGGUCUCCCAUACUUGAUCGGAGGUUACUUCUCAAACAAUCAGAUCACCGGAAACCUAACCACCACACAAACGGCCUUGCUUUGGCCAGAAACUCUCUCUCUCUCUUUCUUUCUCUCUUUCUACGAUUUCUCUGAGUAUUUUUACUCUGGAUUGGAUGCAUGAAAUCGACAGAGAGGACCCCAUAUUUAUAUAAAACGAGGGGCUAAGUCUUGCCCCACAAACAGGCAUGACUGGCCAGCAGAUGGGCACAAUCGGCCAAGGGUUACACCCUCUCGGCCGCAUGCGUCCCUUCGCCAAUACCGUAUGGGUUUGGGUCGGACAGAGGCCCGAGGCCUUACCCAAUCCCUCUGGACUUAGCCCACGGCCUUGUCCCAAGCCCCAACGGUCCAUGACCUCAUGGCCGGACCCCCAUGGCCCGCCACCAGCCCGGACCCGGACCAUUGGACCGAAACCCGAACAGUCCGUCCAGCUGAGAUGAACUGGCUCCCAGCUGCCUCUGCUGAGUAAUAUAGUAGUUCAGCUAGUGCAGCUGACUUAGUAGUGGCCGAGCUGGAGUGAGCUUAACCUAACUCCGUUGAGCUGGUCGAGCUACCUGUUCCAUCCGUCCAGCUACCGUCUUACUCGUCCUAGCUGACUCUGAACUUGUGUAAGGUUAAGUCUAUGUUUCCUUACGUCCUUAACCUUCUUAUCUGGCCAUGGAACACUUGUCUUGAUGUUCUAAGACUUACUAGUACGUUUCCUCGAAGCAUGGCCGUCCCAAUGAUCCUAUUCAGGAUCCGGGAUGUUACAGUAACAACUGUGGGAACCGAAAUUUACACUGUUGAUUUUCGUUAAAAUAAGGAAACUAGGAAAGCCCUAAUUUCCUAGAGGUCCCGGAUAUCUGCUAAUACCACACGUCAAGCAAUCAGAACACUAGAAUAACAACGAUAAAGUAUAAGAAAUCGAAAAGAGAGCAAAGUAGAUCUUAUUCCGAAUUCGCGGCGAGAGCCUGGGCUACGAGAGCUGUCGGCGAGAUUCCUAGUUCUAAAACCCUAAGACGGCAAUAACCAAAUUGAGUCACAGCUCGAAUAACAAAAACGGAAAUAUGCCUAAAUUGCUCUCAAAAGUUCUCUCUCCAUGCCUCUCACCUAGGACUCCUUAUAUACUCUCUCCAAGGUCGGUUUAUGCUUUUACUCUUCUGCCCUUAAGCCGUCAUAGCAUAAAAUGGAGAUAUUCCAUUUUUUCCGAUCAUCGUAAUUAUCUUCAAAAUUUCAUGUUUAUCCGCGGAAACUUGACAUUUAUCCUUCAUUGCGCGCCAAGCGUAAACCGUCCUAUGGUUUACGGGCUUUUGGUUAAGAAAUCGUAAGAUGGGCCUCGAGUCGUGUCUUAGGUCCCUUUGGUCCGUCUUCCGACUCGGAACGUUUAUUACGACUUCUUUUGAUAAAGAACGAACUUUCCGUGGUUUUUACCGCAAAGUUUGAUCGAUGACUUUGAAUGGCGGAAAACAUGAACUGAGUUCGCUACGGUCUUCGGGAGAUAGCAUCGAAGGAUAGACAAGAAUGCAUGGGCUGGUGUCAUAUCGACGUUUCGGAAGAGCUUGGUCAGUACAUAGCAACCGAGUGGGAUGAACGCUCGGUUGCUACAUAGCGACCGAUCUUGGCCGAGCUCGGUCGCUACGUAGCGACUGAGCGGGAUGAACGCUCGGUCGCUACGUAGGGACCGAGCGGGACGAAUAGCGACCAAGCUUUGGUUCAAGCUUGUUUGCUACGUAGCGACCGAGCGGGACGGAUGCUUGGUCGCUACGUAGCGACCGGACAGCGUGCAUGUGCGGUAGUUGUGCAAUGACCGAGCUUGGUUUGUCUGUGUUCCGAUUGUCAUACUCGAACUUAUCCGUACUUGGUUUGGGUAUGUUUUCGAUGGCUUAUGUUUGAUCUAAAGGAAGUUCGAGAUGAAAAUUUAUCUCGAAAAGCUAUGUUGCGGAGAGUCAUACUUAUAUAUUGCGGAGAUUUGGACGUUAACUUCGUCGUGACCGUUUUCGACCCCAACAACAACCCCUUCCUUUAGACCCAAGACUCGCUUUGGCGGGUCAAUCCGGGCGGAGGACAUUGUCAGGUGGGGAGUUUGCCUAGGGCGUCACAUCUGUUAAAAUAUAACGCAGGUGUCCUAAGGUGAGCUCAACGAGAACAGAAAUCACGUGUGGAACAAAAGGGUAAAAGCUCGUUUGAUUCUGAUUUUCAGUACGAAUACGAACCGUGAAAGCGUGGCCUAUCGAUCCUUAAGACCUUCGGAAUUUGAAGCUAGAGGUUUCAGAAAAGUUACCACAGGGAUAACUGGCUUGUGGCAGCCAAGCAUUCAUAACGACGUUUCUUUUUGAUCCUUCGAUGUCGGCUCUUCCUAUCACUGUGAAGCAGAAUUCACCAAGUGUUGGAUUGUUCACCCACCAAUAGGGAAUGUGAUCUGGGUUUAGACUGUCGUGAGAUAAGUUAGUUUUACCCUACUGAUGCCCGCGUCGCAAUAGUAAUUCAACCUAGUAUGAGAGGAACCGUUGAUUCGCACAAUUGAUCAUCGCACUUGGUUGAAAAGCCAGUGGCGCGAAGCUACCGUACGCUGAAUUAUGACUGAACGCCUCUAAGUUAGAAUCUGUCCUAGAAGCGACGCAUGUGCCUGCCGCCCGAUUGCCGACCCUCAGUAGGAGCUUCGGCUCCCAAAGGCACGUGUCGUUGGCUAAGUUCGUUCGGCGGAAGCACCGUUCGGACCGCCUUGAAUUAUAAUUACCACCGAGCGGCGGGUAGAAUCCUUUGCAGAUGACUUAAAUACACGACGGGGUAUUGUAAGUGGCAGAGUGGCCUUGCUGCCACGAUCCACUGAGAUUCAGCCCUUUGUCACUAAGAUUC